UCUCAGUUGAACUUCUUGAGGAAAACUGAGAAUUGCUACCUACACUUCAUACAACUUGGCUUUCACCUCCAUUUCUCCCCUGAACUGCUCCUGUCAAGGCAUUGAACCAGCUAUUAUUCAAAGAGCUCUGGUCCCUUUUAGUAGGGAAUAACAUCAAAGGCCAAGAUAUGGAACCCAGAAGAUCACAUUUGAUUGCUUCAUGUGCAUCCUGGAGAUUCAAGAGACAUCCUGAAGAUCAGUUGCUUAGAAGAACUGAUCAAAACUGGUGUUAGAGCAGAUAAAGGGAUAUUUAUUGUUAUGGACUGAAUGAUUGUGUCCCCUCCCAAUUUUUAUGUUGAGAUCCUAACUCCCAACAUGAUCUUACUAGGGAGAGGGUCCCUUGGAAGGUGAUUAAGUUGUGAGACUGGAGCCCUCAUCAAUGAGACUAAUGAUCUUAUAAGAGACUCCAGAGAGCUUCCUUUUCCUCUCCUGCCAUUUGAGGGUAUGGUGAGAAGACCACCAUCUAUGAUCCAAGAACAGGCCCUUGCCAGACACUGAAUAUGCCAGCACCUUCAUCUCAGAUGU